rnacentral:rRNA from 1 species
AACGAACGCUGGCGGCAGGCUUAACACAUGCAAGUCGAGCGCCCCGCAAGGGGAGCGGCAGACGGGUGAGUAACGCGUGGGAAUCUACCCAUCUCUACGGAAUAACGCAUGGAAACGUGUGCUAAUACCGUGUACGUCCUUCGGGAGAAAGAUUUAUCGGAGAUGGAUGAGCCCGCGUUGGAUUAGCUAGUUGGUGGGGUAAAGGCCUACCAAGGCGACGAUCCAUAGCUGGUCUGAGAGGAUGAUCAGCCACACUGGGACUGAGACACGGCCCAGACUCCUACGGGAGGCAGCAGUGGGGAAUAUUGGACAAUGGGCGCAAGCCUGAUCCAGCCAUGCCGCGUGAGUGACGAAGGCCCUAGGGUUGUAAAGCUCUUUCACCGGUGAAGAUAAUGACGGUAACCGGAGAAGAAGCCCCGGCUAACUUCGUGCCAGCAGCCGCAGUAAAAC